rnacentral:rRNA from 1 species
UACGUAGGGGGCAAGCGUUGUCCGGAUUUAUUGGGCGUAAAGCGCUCGCAGGCGGUUCGUCGCGUCGUGCGUGAAAGACCCCGGCUCAACUGGGGGGCGUCGUGCGAAACGGGCGGACUGGAGGCCAGUAGGGGGAUGCGGAAUUCCGGGUGUAGUGGUGGAAUGCGUAGAGAUCCGGAGGAACACCAGCGGCGAAGGCGGCAUCCUGGACUGGUCCUGACACUCAUGAGCGAAAGCGUGGGGAGCGAUCCGG